rnacentral:rRNA from 1 species
AUUGAACGCUGGCGGCAGGCCUAACACAUGCAAGUCGAGCGGAUGAAGGGAGCUUGCUCCUGGAUUCAGCGGCGGACGGGUGAGUAAUGCCUAGGAAUCUGCCUGGUAGUGGGGGAUAACGUCCGGAAACGGGCGCUAAUACCGCAUACGUCCUGAGGGAGAAAGUGGGGAUCUUCGGACCUCACCCUAUCAGAUGAGCCUAGGUCGGAUUAGCUAGUUGGUGGGGUAAAGGCCUACCAAGGCGACGAUCCGUAACUGGUCUGAGAGGAUGAUCAGUCACACUGGAACUGAGACACGGUCCAGACUCCUACGGGAGGCAGCAGUGGGGAAUAUUGGACGAUGGGCGAAAGCCUGAUCCAGCCAUGCCGCGUGUGUGAAGAAGGUCUUCGGAUUGUAAAGCACUUUAAGUUGGGAGGAAGGGCAGUAAGUUAAUACCUUGCUGUUUUGACGUUACCAACAGAAUAAGCACCGGCUAACUUCGUG